AUGGCGGGGCCGGCGGGAGGGCGGGAGCUGCCGGACACGCCGACGUGGGCGGUGGCGCUCGUUUGCGCCGUCAUGAUACUCGUCUCGGUCGCCAUGGAGCACGCCCUCCACAACCUCGGCCACUGGUUCCACAAGCGGCACAAGAAGGCCAUGGGGGAGGCGCUGGAGAAGAUGAAGGCGGAGCUCAUGCUGGUGGGCUUCAUAUCCCUGCUCCUCACCGUGGCGCAGGACCCCAUCUCCAAGAUAUGCAUCUCCGUGGAGGCCGGCAGCAAGAUGCUCCCGUGCAAGCUGCCCGAAGCUGAUUACGCUGGCGACGAUGCCAAGGGCAGCCGCCGGAGGCUCCUCUGGCUCCAAGGCGACACCCACCGCCGGUUCCUGGCUGCCCCGGCCGGAGAGGACGUCUGCGCCAAACAGGUGGCGCUGAUGUCGGCCGGGAGCAUGCACCAGCUGCACAUAUUCAUCUUCGUGCUCGCCGUCUUCCACGUCUUGUACAGCGUGGUCACCAUGGCCGAGCGGGAUAAACGAGUUAUACCCUCCAGUAGGCCACGCAGAGGCCGCGGCAUUGGUGGCAGCAGCGACGUCCUCGGCGACCUUCUUGUCGGCUUCAGCUUUCUCGGCGGCGGCACGAUCGGCGUCGGUGGACAUGGUGAUGACGAAGGCGACGCGGACGUAGAGGAAGAGCGGGAUAAACGAGUUAUACCCUCCAGUAGGCCACGCAGAGGCCGCGGCAUUGGUGGCAGCAGCGGCGUCCUCGGCGACCUUCUUGUCGGCUUCAGCUUUCUCGGCGGCGGCACGGUCGGCGUCGGUGGACAUGGUGAUGACGAAGGCGACGCGGACGUAGAGGAAAUGAAGCAAUGGAAGAAGUGGGAGUCGGAGACCGCCUCGCUGGAGUAUCAGUUCGCCAAUGGUCAGGAUCUAUCUACUCUGCAUUUUCUUACUGAAACGGCUUCAUCGCAGAAGAGCAGGUUCGACUUCCACAAGUACAUCAAGAGGUCGCUGGAGGACGACUUCAAGGUCGUCGUCGGCAUCAGUCUCAAGCUCUGGUUCGUGGCGGUCCUCAUACUCUUCCUUGAUUUCCACGAUCCUGUUGUGGGUCGGGACCAAGCUGGAGAUGGUGAUCAUAUGGAGAUGGCCCAGGAGAUCCAGGACCGGGAGAGCGUCGUCAAGGGGGCUCCCGCCGUCGAGCCCAGCAACAAGUACUUCUGGUUCGACCGCCCCGACUGGGUCCUUUUCCUCAUACACCUCACACUCUUCCAGAACGCGUUUCAGAUGGCACAUUUCGUGUGGACAGUGGCCACGCCUGACUUGAAGAAAUGCUACCAUCAGAAAAUGGGAGUGAGCAUCGCCAAGGUGGUGCUGGGGGUGGCCGCCCAGAUCAUGUGCAGCUACAUCACCUUCCCGCUCUACGCGCUCGUCACGCAGAUGGGCUCACACAUGAAGAGAAGCGUCUUCAACGAGCAGACGGCCAAGGCGCUCACCAACUGGCGAAAGGUGGAGAAGAAGAAGGCCCGGGACGCGGACAUGCUGAGGGCGCAGAUGAGUCAAGGCUCGUCGCCGGUGCACCUGCUCCACAAUGCCGGGGCGCGGUCCGACGAUCCCCGGAGCGCGCCGGCGUCGCCGAGGGCCGAGAAGGGGGGCGGGGGCGUGCAGCAUCCGGCGCGCAGGGUGCCUCCUUGUGACGGGUGGAGGUCGGCCUCGUUGCCGGCCCUCGACGCUCACAUCACCGGUGCAGAUUUUUGCUUCAGCACGCAACGUUGA
rnacentral:rRNA from 1 species